rnacentral:lncRNA from 1 species
AAAGAAUCAUGCCCAAUUCAACCUCAAGGUCCCGUUUAGGGAGAACAAUGUUGAAUGGUGAUGCAACAUCACCGGCGUACAAGGCACGUAUUUCAGUGAAUUCUUCGGUCAAGGGACACACACAGUAGCAGUUGCAUUGCAAGUCAGUAUAUUCAGGAGCUACUCCCUGACUAGCUCACCAAGCAUAGUACACUAUACACUUCUUUUUGCAUGGAAACACUCAUGUUCAGAGGCUAGCGGUGCACGAUUUAUCUCUAGAAAGCAUAGGCAAAUAUUACCAGUGUAUACUGUAUAAUAUAUUACCUCCGUCCCAAAAUGUUUAUCCUGGAUUUAUCUAGAUACGGAUGUAUCUAACACUAAAAACACAUGUAGGUACAUUCGUACCUAAACAAAUCCAAGACAAGUAAUUCGGAACGGAGGGAGUAAAUAAGAAAAGUGUAAAUUUGUGCGCAAAAGAAAAAGAAAGAAAGACGCGGCAACAAAACUUUGAAGAUAAACUUAUUUCUUGCGUUAUGUAGCCACUCAAGUGGUCACUGUGCCCCGCAAAAAAGAUUUGGUCACUGUGAUUUUUGCCUCCAGCGGUAAUAUACUCGCACAUAAUUCAUUGCAUGUUGAUGAAAACAAGUAAAUACCCACGUAUAUCACAACCAAUAUUUGACAUGUACCAGACAACUUUUUUUUUUGCGGGGUAAAGGGAGUUUUUAUUGCAAAGUUAUAGUGUUACAAUCAAGAGACCACAAAUCCUCAAUAUAAGGUGGAGCCGACUGUAACCACACAGCUGUGGUUCUCUCGGAUCGGCUAUAAGUGGCCAAACGAUCUGCAAUACAAUUCUGACUACGGUGAAUUUUCUGUGGUAAAAACUCACUACUACUCAUCAACUCUUUAAUCUCAAGAACCAACUGCCCAUAAACUGACUUCACCAGGCCAUUGUUAGACAUGAUUGAGAGUGCUUCAGUGGAAUCUGAUUGAAUGACCACCGGAAGCGAAGUAUUUUGUAUGUACCAGACAACUGAUUACACAUAUUAUACUUCCCACAUAAGUUCACAAUGAAUUUGGUAUGUCGCUAGUGAUAAGAAUGCCAAGAGAAUGGUCUAGCAGGAGGACCUCGAUAAGCUCUGAGGAAGCACUUCGGUGUUCCUCUUCCCCACUACUCCCUCCGUCCGCGAAUAAGUGUACUUCUACCUUUUGUCUUAAGUCGAAGUUUUAAAAUUUUGAUCAAGUUUAUAGAAAGCACUGGUAGCAUAUAUGACAUCAAAUUGAUAUAUCAUGAAAGCACAUUUCAACUCGAAUCUAGUGAUACUAAUUUAGUGCCAUAAAUGCUGCUUUUUUGUCUAUAAAGUUGGUCAAAAUUUUAAAACUUUGACUUAAGACAAAAGCUAGAUGUACACUUAUUCACGGACGGAGGGAGUGUGUUAGUACCGAACAAGUUUAUGUUCUUAUUUUUUUUUUGAAUGUUGGUAGUUGAUCUACCAAAUUUAUUGAUCAGGAGAAAGAAGGUUGGUCCAGUUUAUGAGGGAAACCGAACCCAAAAACCAUACAAACAGCUUUUUGGCCAACACCACACACACCCUCGCGAGCCACGGGUCCCUCUGACCGGAUCCAUCUCCAAGACGAUGCCCCCAAGAAAGAACGCGACGCCGAAUGGCGCCGCCAUCGUCCGACCUAAACUAGAUCAAGGGUUUCCUCCGGAGCACGUCGGGGAAGGCAAGAUGAGAGCAGCUACAUCGAUGCCUUGAACGAGGGAACGACGCCCGAAAGCGCCGCCAUCGACGACUCCGGCCGCAACCGGAGUACAACUUUCGCCGGCAGCCACACCCACAUAGCCCGAACCUAGGAUCCGAUCAGCCUACACAUCAAACCACUAUCCCUGCCUCCACGGCCGAUCGCACCUCCCCGACGAGCUCGACGUGCUUCCAACCUUGCAUCCGCAUCCCCCACUGGACGGAGGAUGCAACCCCUAGCGGCGCCAUUCGUCUCCCCUCGGAAAGAUGCAACCAACACGACGCCAUUCGUCUCCCCGAGGAUGCAACGCGUGCCGGCCAUUCAUCUCCCGACGAAGGAUGCAACAACCGCGGCGAGGCCAUUCCUCUCCCUCCAGCCACCACCAUCUCGUCCUCCCGCCCGAAGCCGGGUCAAGCUCACCGAACCACCAAACAGGAGGAUGCAACACCAGGCGAGGUGCCAUUCAUCUCCCACAGCCUCGCCUGCACGGCCAGCAGAAACCCGGAUCUUCAAAGGCUGGCUCGAGGUGAAUUAAAUCAUUCUUGGUUAUCCAGUUAUUGCACAACACUGUACAUUCAAUCUUUUCAAAGUUUCAUCAAAUGAUGCUAUUGCAAUGUGGAAGCACUGCGAUGCAGCCCUGUCAUUGCACCAGUAAUCUUCUCAUUCGAGUUUCUAAGCUGUAAGCUCGCAGUCCUCCUCGUCCUAAGCUUUGGCAUGAAGAAGGUGCCCAGCAUUGUAUCAAGGCCUUCGGCAUUGUACUUCACAUACUUGCUCGCACUGAUGUCCUCCUCAACAAGCGGACCGUAGUUUUGCGUGAAGCGGUCAAGACGCCGUAUGUCAUCCAAACGUGGUAACCUAUCGACACCGGACCACCGGUGGGUCGAACGACAAUGCACCACCCAGGACCAGGGGACGCACAAAUCGCAUGGGAGUUUAAACGACGGCAUGAUUCUGGUUGGCCGGUCAGUGGACACAUCGCCGACGUGUCAUGGCGUCGACGUCCGUCUUCUUCUAGCAUGAGCACGAGCAUGACCGCCACCUCUCAACUGAUAGAGGUUUUGCUCUGCUGAUUGCUGAAUGGAUGGACAGAACAGCGUCUCGUGGUGAGCCGAAAAACGUUGCACUCCGUGGGCCCGACUCCCAUGCACGCACAAAGCGGACCCCACGCCCCACGACGCAAAGUCAUGUAACACCGGGGGCCACAUGAUCAUCGGCUUUAUGGGCCCAAAGAGUGCGGCGGGCGAGCCAGACAACCGCUCAGUCGCGAUCCGGAGGAUUUUUGGCUUCAGAAUUCUGAUCUUCGGGUCACGCCAGAGUCACCGAGAGCAUCUCUAGCAGACUCAUAAAAGAGCGAAACCCGUAUAAUUUCAACGAGUAUACGGAUUCAGUCUUUUUUUUAUUAGAAUAAACAUCGUGUUUGUGGCCGAUGUCGUGGUUCUAAGCCUGACAAUAAUGUAGGGGGUAGGUAUGGAGAGGCAAGAUUUUAGCUAUGGAGAAGUUGUAAGCACACGAGGUUUACGAGUUCAGGCCCUUCUCGGAGGAAGUAAUAGCCCUACGUCUCGGAGCCCGGAGGCGGUCGACUGGAUUAUGCGUGUAUGAAUUACAGGGGUGCGAACCCUUUACACUGAGGAGGGGGUGGCUUAUAUAGAGUUCGCCGGACCCCUCCAGCCCUCGGUUAUGCAGGGUUUAAAAUACAUUAAGGUCGGACGUUACUGCUAACGCCCUUAAUAAAGUGCUAUGAUGACCAUAAAAGCUACUUAAUAAUCGAUCGUUAGUGUGUGGAGUGCCUUUAGGUCUUCUCCCCGUCGAGUGGUUUGGUCUUGGUCGAGUGAUCACUUCUUGGUCGAGUGUCUUCGAGUCUGUCGAGUGGAACACCUCCAAGUCGAUUGAAAGGUGAUUUCUUCUAGAGAUGUCCUUGGGUAGGCAGUUUGGACAGGUCCAUGACCCUACCCUAGAUACAUAGCUUCAUCAUUAGCCCCCGAAUGGAUCGAGAUUUGAGUGGGGAAGGAGUUGAGAAUUUCCCGGACUCAUUUUUCAUGCCUUGAGCAUAUCUGGUUUCGGAUCAAUGAACCUGAGUGAUGACAGCAACUUCCUUUUCAGUCGCCUUGAUCCAUUCUUAGUUUUUUUUGUCGAGUGAGUUUCUUUACUUGAUAGGCUCCGAGUGAUGGUGUGGAGGAGAUCUUCGGUCUGACAAGUUGUUCUGCUGCCCGCAGAUUUCACGGGAUCCGAAUUUUGGAAAGCGCGCGGGACGGGGGAGGCCGCAGUAAUCGGAUGGGAUAGGGCGGAGCCGCCUCGAUCCCCGCGCCACCUUUUUCGUCACGUAUCGCGCGCGCGAUUGAUACGGGAUUUGACAGGACCGCCCGAGCCUACCAGUCAGCCACUCAGAAGCGGCCUCAUAUAAGGCGUCGGACCGGGGUCUCUCGAACAGUGUGUCCUCAUUAUCUCUUCUCCUCUUCAGGCUCCUUCGUCGCGCUCGCUCUCGCCCCAGCGCCACCGUUCCGUACGCGUCUCGCCGGCGACGAUGGGAAAGGAGAAGACGGCGGCUCUAGAGCGGGCGAAGAAGGCGGCGGCAAGGGCGAAGGGGAAGGCGACCAGUCAGGGUGGAUCUUCGCGAACCGGCCUGCCGAAGGGCUGGAUCCAGGGCGACUGGAUCCGCUCGACGAUCACCCAAGAGGACCUUGACGACCUAGCCGAGGGAGGGCUGAUUCCCUAUGAAUCGGCGCGGCUUCCGGGGAAGGAAUCCGAGCCGCAACCUCGGGAGGGUGAGCAUGUUCUCCUUGCCACCCACGUCGACCGUGGAUUUUCCUUGCCUCCUCACCCUUUCUUUCGGGGAUUUCUGAACUUCUUUGGGGCUCAACUCCACCACUUCACUCCCAACACAAUCGUUUAUCUUGCCGCUUUCAUUUCUUUGUGUGAGAAUUUCCUGGGUUGUUGGCCUCACUGGGGCCUUUUCAAGCACAUUUUCACUUGUCGCUCUCAGACGGUGAAAAAGGCCAAUCCGAGUGACGAGAGGACUCAAGUGAUUCAGAUGUGUGGGGGUCUUGGUGUUCGGAUGAGAGGGAAAAGUUCCUUUCCGGCCAUGAUUCUUCCCGACUCGGUUCGCGGAUGGCAGUCGACCUGGUUUUACUGCAAAGACCAGUCGACUGGCCUCCCUCCCUUUACCAUGGACCGAGUGAGGAAACCCUCCCCUUUGAAGGUGCUCCCGGAGGAGAAGGCGCAGGUGAGGGUGCUGGUCGAGCGAGUGGUCCAGAUUAUCCGUGACGGGGUCACCGGUAUGGAUCUCUUGGAGGUCUUCCUUCAGCGGCGCAUCCAGCCUCUUCAAGCUCGAGACCAUCCGAUGUGGAUGUAUUCGGGUCUUGAAGACUCCACUCGGGUUCACCCGGAGGAGGUCGAUGACGAUACACUGGAGAAGUGGCUGUCGGGCAUGACCGGAAACAAGGACAACCCCAGGGGAGCCAGGAGAGUUCCUCCAUUCGACCAGUCCCAUGUACCAGAGAAGGUCUGAUUCUGAGCUUUUGUUUGUAAUCUGAAUUCACUCGCGCAGCUGCCCAUACUGCGUCGACUGACUUUGUUCUCCCUGCUUUCUUUCAGGCCAUUAUUGAAAUGUAUUCAAUGCCCAACGGAGAGCAAGAGCAGGACCCGGAAGGAGAGGCGAGCGGCGGCGACAGUGACGAAUGGGAUUCUGACGGUGGAGGGGACGAAGAAAGCGACGACCUAAGUGACGAAGAAGAAGUCGAGUUGCCUCCUCACAGGGAGAGGCGGUCCAAACUUGACCAAGAACGACCGAGCGCCCGUGAAAAGGCGAUUGCUCAAGCUGGUCAGUCUUUAAAGCGUCCUCGGACCUCUUCGCUGACUCCAACUGAAAAAACGUCAAAGCAUCCCAAAGUCGCAGAGCCGAAGCUUCGUAAGGCGUUGCCGAAGAUCAAGAUUGACAUCCCCGUCGCUUCUGCGUGAGUGUCUCCCUUUAUAUUCACUCGACGCCCCGUGCUGUUUGUUUUUCUUGUUUUAACCGGACGAACUUUGGAACUGGCAGCGCUGCUACUUCCGGGACCUCAGCUUACAGGGACGAUGAUGAGGUAAUGGAGGAUGCGGUCACUUCUAAUCUGGGUAUGAUUUCUGCCAUUUUGUCUUUAUUUGGUAGACUCAACUGCAAUGUGCACCAUUGGGUGAUGUGAUUUUGGCGAUUGAACUUUUGCACAGCUCCCAACAUUAUCGACCUCCCCGAUGAUGAUGAAGAGCCCGAGAGGCCUUUGACGAGGAAGAAUAGGCAAGCUCCUGCGGGCAAGGUGUCACAGUCGACGCCGAGGGCGGAACCAGUCGUUCAGGACACUGGCGACGCCAAUCGGGGUUCUGUUACCUUCGCCGUGCCACUGUCGAGUGCCUUGCCUUCUUCGUCGACUGCUCAGGCCCCUAUCGACCCACCUUUAGUUUUUGCGACCCAUCAUGUCCCAGAGGACGAAGUGAAUGCUGCCAGGGAAGCCAUACGCUAGGCGGGCAUCAUGAUGGAGAAGAUGAAGACGGUGCGGGACGCCAGUCAGGCCGCCUACGACGCCAGCUCGGCUCUCCAAAGCAAUGUUCAGGUUAGUUGGUCACCGCUUGUUCUGUUAGGAUAUGCUAUCUGAAGAUUCUUUCCGAAAAUCUUUGCAUCUGUACGCCCACUGGGUGCGUCGAUUGAAUUUAUGAACUAGUGGGGGCACGCUGAGUGCAUCCACCGGGUGUAGUCCCCGAGACUAUGAUGGACUGCUGGCAGUCGACUGUAGUCUUUGUAUUUUGUCGACUGUAAACCGAACUGGUAGUUUGUCUCUUCCACUCGGUCUGAUCGAGUGGGAUCAGAACCGGUGGGGGCACGCCAAGUGCACCCACUGGGUGUAGUCCCCGAGACCGCGGUCGACUGCUGGCAGUCGACUGUCGUCUGAGUUCUAUUUUCUCUCCUCUUUUUUUACUCCCUGCACUCGACUCCGGCGGGCCGGUCGAAUGGGAUCAGAACCGGUGGGGGCACGCAAAGUGCACCCACUGGGUGUAGUCCCCGAGACUAUGGUGGACUACGGGCAGUCGACCGUAGUCUUAGUACUUAUUGUCUUUGUCGUUUUUCGCUGUAAAAUAACUUCUCCUCUUUGAUUUCAGAAAUCUUGUGAUCUUGGAGCUCGCUUUGCUGACUUAGAGAAACAGCAGAUCCAACUGAACCUUGACUUGGAGCUGGCCAAGACAGAGCUGCAAAAGGUCAAGGACGGCGCCACUGGUAAGACGAGUUUGUCGACUGGUCUGUCUUAGGCUUGAGUACCCUUCUGCUCUUUCUGAAUUAAGCAUCAUUUCUUUGCAGAAAAACUAAGAGAAGCUCUGGCGAAGAAGGAUCAGGAUUUGGCUGCUGCUCGAAAGGAGGCUGACGACAGAACCGCUCUGGCCGAACAGAAACUGGCUUCGGUCGGCCAGUUGGAAGAAAAGAAUACCAAGAUGAAAUCUGCUCUGAACGAAGCCAACAAGGAGUGCACGCGCUGGAAGAAGGACAAUCUCAACCUGUGCGAGAAGAUGGAAGGCAUCGCUCGCAGGAGGGACGAUCUGGAGAGCUAUCUGAGGAGCCUUGCCAAGAAGUUGUUCAUCAAGCUUGAAGGUGCACAUUUUGUUCCGACUGAUUUUUUUUGUGUCGACUCAGCGUACGAAAAUUGACUUAUCCUUGGAUCGUGAAUGCAGAGUUUUGCCAGAACUUCGAGGAGGAGACUGGGCGGAUUGAGCCAGCUUUGGACCCAAUCAAUUCUCCCGUGAAAGGUGAAACUGCCAUGAAUCUGCUCCGACUGGAAUCCCGCAUCGACGGUGUCGUGGACUACUUGGCUCGACUGAAGGUCGCCAUGUCACGGAUCGACCCGGCACUUUGGCCAGAGGCCACGCUCCAGAAUGACCUUGAGUCCCUGAUGACUCGACUUAACGAGAUCCCUGACCGAGUGCAGGAGUGGAAGAAAUCUUCUGCCCGGUGUGGUGCUGAUGUGGCUCUGUCUUUGGUUCAUGUCCAUUGCAAGGAGGUGCGACAAGAUAAGCUGGCAGCAAUCAAGGUCGCCAACACCCAUAAGCAUGACUUCCGAUCUUUUAUGGAGACUUUCAUCGCUGCAGCCACUCGGAUCGCCGACGGCGUCGACCUAGACGAGUUCGUCGAGCCUGCUAGUCCUCCUCCCGCGGAGUGAACAAACUUUUAUGCCUCACCUUAAAUUUGCCUCGGAAUGCCGAGUGGUUUUUGUAACCGUUAAACUCUUUCGGGCUGAAUGCCCGAGCACUUCGAUCUGUGGUCCGGAACCUUUAGGAUUUAUCUGAACUUGGUUUAUCGUUGAAUGUCUUCAUGAAUCCCCCACCGAGUGAACUCGUUCUCCAUUCGAGACGACUUUUGUAUUUGUAGCGCAGCUCCGAGAAGAAGGAAACAGUCGACCUGCACCUGGUUGCCCUUGCGGGUCGGCGAUGGAGUGCGCAUUGUAUUUGUGGCGAAGCUCCUCAGUAGAAGGUGGCAGUAGUCCUGCACCUCGUCGUCCUUGCGGAGUGGGAUGGAGCGCACAUUGUAUUUGUGGCGAAGCUCUCCAGGAGAAGGCGGCAGUCGACCUGCACCUCGUUACUGCAGAGCAGGAUCUAGCGCAUGUUGUAUUUGUGGCGAAGCUCUCCAGGAGAAGGCGGCAGUCGACCUGCACCUCGCUACUGCAGAGCGGGAUGGAGCACACGUUGUAUUUGUGGCGAAGCUCUCAAGGAGAAGGCGGCAGUCGACCUGCACCUCGUCGUCCUUGAGGAUUGCAAUGUGUUUCGUACUUAGGCGAGUACUGGACUGCAGCUAAGCCCCCGAGUGGGAGGCUGGCUCGCCACUCGGUAGGAUUUUCAAACACUUAGGCGAGUACUGGACUGUAGCUAAGCCCCCGAGCGGGAGGGUCGCUCACCGCUCGGUAGGAUUUUCAAACACUUAGGCGAGUACUGGACUUCAGCUAAGCCCCCGAGCGGGAGGGUCGCUCACCGCUCGGUAGGAUUUUCAAACACUUAGGCGAGUACUGGACUGCAGCUAAGCCCCCGAGUGGGAGGUUUGCUCACCACUCGGUAGGGUUUUCAAACACUCAGGCGAGUACUGGACUGCAGCUAAGCNNNNNNNNNNNNNNNNNNNNNNNNNNNNNNNNNNNNNNNNNNNNNNNNNNNNNNNNNNNNNNNNNNNNNNNNNNNNNNNNNNNNNNNNNNNNNNNNNNNNNNNNNNNNNNNNNNNNNNNNNNNNNNNNNNNNNNNNNNNNNNNNNNNNNNNNNNNNNNNNNNNNNNNNNNNNNNNNNNNNNNNNNNNNNNNNNNNNNNNNNNNNNNNNNNNNNNNNNNNNNNNNNNNNNNNNNNNNNNNNNNNNNNNNNNNNNNNNNNNNNNNNNNNNNNNNNNNNNNNNNNNNNNNNNNNNNNNNNNNNNNNNNNNNNNNNNNNNNNNNNNNNNNNNNNNNNNNNNNNNNNNNNNNNNNNNNNNNNNNNNNNNNNNNNNNNNNNNNNNNNNNNNNNNNNNNNNNNNNNNNNNNNNNNNNNNNNNNNNNNNNNNNNNNNNNNGGUAGGAUUUUUUUUUCAAACUUAGGCGAGUACUAGACUGCAGCUAAGCCCCCGAGUGGGAUGUUUGCUCUCCACUCGGUAGGAUUUUUUUCAAACUUAGGCGAGUACUGGACUGCAGCUAAGCCCCCGAGUGGGAGGUUUGCUCUCCACUCGGUAGGAUUUUUUUCAAACUUAGGCGAGUACUGGACAACAGCUAAGCCCCCGAGCGGGAGGCUGGCUCACCACUCGGUAGGAUUUUCAAAUACUUAGGUGAAACGGGUUCGCAGCUAAGCCCCCGAGUGGGAGGCUGGCUCACCACUCGGUAGGAGAUUAUUUUUACAAACUUAGGCGAAACGGAUUCGCGGCUAAGCCACCCACUGGGGGAUUUCUCACGCAAACAAAAACAAUACAAUCCCUGGGAAAAUUAUAACACUCUUGUCUUUGAUAAAUAAACUACAGGAGUUUUUCUUAUUACAUCUCAUCCGAGUGAGAAUUCAGGUAUAAAAGGGGCGGAGCAGCUCCGCAUUCCAGGCUCGUGGCUCAUCAAUCUGGCGAUCGACAUUAUAGAGGUGGUACGCUCCAUUGUGGAGGACUCUGGUGACUAUGAAGGGGCCUUCCUAAGUAGGAGCGAGUUUGUGUGGUUUCUGCUGAUCCACUCGGAGGACUAAGUCUCCUUCUUGGAAGACUCGACUCUUCACAUUUCUGGCAUGGAAUCGACACAAGUCUUGCUGAUAGAUGGUCGAUCGGAUCAUGGCCAUUUCUAUUUCUUCUUCCAAGAGGUCGACUGCGUCCUGCCGGGCUUGUUCUGCUUCUUCUUCAGAGUAGAGCUCGACUCGGGGGGCGUUGUGAAGCAUGUCACUCGGCAAGACUGCUUCGGCUCCGUAGACCAGAAAGAAUGGGGUUCUUCCGGUCGAUUGGUUCGGGGUUGUCCUCAAUCCCCAAAGAACUGAUGGAAGCUCGUCGACCCAUGCUCCUACUGCGUGCUUGAGAUCGUGCAUCAAUCGAGGUUUCAGUUCUUUGAGAAUUAAGCCGUUCGCUCUUUCCACUUGUCCGUUCGACUGGGGGUGAGCGACCGAAGCGUAGUCGACUCGUGUUCCCUGAGAGGCGCAAAAGGCCCUGGAUUUGUCGGAAUCGAAGUUUGACCCAUUGUUAGUGAUGAUGCUGUGCGGAACUCCAUAUCUGAAUAUCAACUCUCUGAUGAAACUGAUAGAAGUGCAAGCAUCAAGAUUCUUGAUAGGCUUAGCUUCAAUCCAUUUGGUGAACUUGUCGACUGCUACUAGCACAUGAGUGAAGCCGCUCCUGCCUGUUCUCAGUGGUCCAACCAUGCCCAGCCCCCAAACAGCGAAGGGCCAGAUGAGUGGAAUGGUUUCAGGGCUGACGGGGGCUUGUGCGACAUAUUGGAGUAAUACUGACAUCCUUCACAUUUGUCGACUAUCUCUUUCGCCAUUUCAUUUGCUCUUGGCCAGUAGAAUCCCGCUCGGUAUGCUUUAGCCACAAUGGUCCGAGAGGACGCAUGAUGACCACAGGUCCCCGAGUGGAUAUCAUCAAGGAUCAUCUGACCUUCUUCUGGUGUAAUACACUUCUGACUGACUCCGGUCGCGCUUUCUCUAUAUAACUGUCCUUUUAUGAUUGUAAAGGCCUUGGAUCGACGGACGAUCUGUCGAGCCUCUUCUUCAUCUUCUGGGAGCUCUUUCCUUAGGAUGUACGCAAUGUACGGUACUGUCCAGUCGGGAGUGAUGACCAAGACUUCCAUGAUCAGGUCGACCACAGCUGGAACUUCAACUUCAGUCGGAUCUGUGGCACUUUUUGGCCGCGGGGCCUCUUCAGUGAAGGGAUCCUCCUGAACUGAUGGUGUGUGGAUGUGUUCCAAAAACACAUUGUUGGGAAUGGCUUCUCUUUUGGAACCUAUUUUUGCCAAAUCAUCAGCUGCUUGAUUUUUUAGUUGGGGUAUGUGAUGAAGUUCUAACCCCUCGAAUUUCUUCUCCAGCUUUCUCACUGCAUUGCAAUAACCAGUCAUGGCUGGACUUCUGACGUCCCACUCCUUCAUCACCUGAUUAACCACCAAAUCUGAGUCGCCAUAGACCAUGAGGCGACGGACGCCGAGUGAAAUGGCCAUGCGCAACCCAUAUAAAAGUGCUUCAUAUUCUGCCUCGUUAUUUGAGAAUCAAAGUGGAUUUGAAGAACAUAUCUGAGCUUAUCUCCUCGGGGGGAAACCAACACCACUCCGGCACCGGAACCAUUCAGCAUCUUGGAUCCGUCGAAGAACAUGGUCCAAUGCUCCGAGUGAACCUGAGUCGGCAGUUGCUGUUCAAUCCACUCGGCGACAAAAUCCGCGAUUGCCUGGGACUUGAUAGUUUUCUUUGCCUCAAACUUGAUAUCUAGAGGAAGGAGUUCAAUCGCCCAUUUUGCCACUCGACCAGUUGCAUCUCUGUUAUGCAGGAUCUCUAACAAUGGAGCGUCGCUGACGACUGUAAUGGAAUGAUCAGAGAAGUAGUGAGCAACUUUCUUUGUGGUCAUAUAAAUCCCAUAUACAAGCUUCUGAUAAUGAGGAUAUCUUUGCUUCGACGGGGUCAAAACUUCAGAAAUAUAAUAUACUGGGCGCUGAACUUUGAAGGCUUUUCCUUCUUCUUCCCGCUCGACCGUAAGUACCGUACUGACGACUUGUCUGUGGCUGCGAUGUAAAGCAGCAAAGGCUCCUUGCUGAUUGGGGCAGCAAGCACCGGCUGGGUGGAGAGCAGAGCUUUGAGCUCUGCAAACGCUGCAUCAGCUUCAGGAGUCCACUCGAACUUGUCGGACUGCUUCAUCAAUCGGUAAAGAGGCAAUGCCUUUUCACCGAGACGAGAUAUGAAUCGACUUAAAGCGGCCAAGCAGCCAGUAAGCUUCUGGACGUCGUGCACUCGCACAGGACUUUUCAUUCAGACUAUAGUACCGACUUUUUCUGGAUUGGCGUCGAUUCCCCGUUCGGAAACGAGAAAACCGAGUAAUUUUCCGCCAGGAACUUCGAAUGUGCACUUUGAUGGAUUAAGCUUGAUAUCAUACCUCCUGAGGUUGGCAAAGGUUUCAGCAAGGUCAGUCAGCAGGUCGGAACCUUUCCGUGACUUGACCACAAUAUCAUCCAUGUAUGCUUCCACAUUAAGACUGAUUUGAGUGACCAGACACUUCUGAAUCAUCCUCAUGAAUGUGGCUCCGGCAUUCUUGAGGCCGAACGGCAUGGUAACAUAACAGAAGCACCUGAAUAGAGUGAUAAAAGCUGUUUUGAUCUCGUCAGGUCCAUACAGACGGAUCUGAUGGUACCCAAAAUAGGUGUCUAAAAAAUACAGUCGCUCACACCUCGCAGUCGAGUCGACUAUCUGGUCGAUGCGGGGGAGAGGAAAAUGAUCUUUCGGGCAGGCCCGAUUGAUAUGUUUAAAGUCAAUGCACAUGUGAAAUGACUUGUCCUUCUUGGGGACCAUGACAAUGUUGGCGAGCCACUCGGAGUGGUAGAUUUCUCGGAUGAACUCUGCUGCUAAGAGCCGAGCCACCUCGUCGCCAAUAGCCUUUCUCUUCUGGACGGCGGACCGUCAGAGAUGCUCUUUGACAGGUUUUAUUUUUGAGUCGACUCUUAGGCGGUGCUCAGCCAGCUCCCUAGGAACACCCGACAUGUCAGAAGGCUUCCAUGCAAAAAUGUCCCAGUUCUCACGGAGGAACUGGAUGAGCACUUCUUCCUAUUUGGAGUCGAGUGUCGUUGAGAUAUGAGUCGGAGCAGCGCUGGGAUCGGUCGGGUGAAUGUGAGCUGUCUUCGUUUCGCCAGACGACUGAAAAGCUGAUUCUGUAGCGGGCUUCUUGGCUCGCAACAAAUCACUCGGGUCUGCAGUCUUCUGGUAUUCCUGAAGCUCCACCACUGCCAUCUGAGCAUCAGCGAUCUUUGAACCUUUCUAAAAACAUUCUUCUGCUUUCUUCUGAUUGCCCGUAACAGUGAUCACACCUUUGGGGCCAGGCAUCUUCAAUUUGAGAUACACAUAACACGGUCGGGCCAUGAAGCGUGCAUAAGCCGGCCUGCCCAAAAUAGCGUGAUAGGCACUCUGGAAGUUUACAACUUCAAACGUCAACUUUUCUUUGCGGUAAUUCUUGGAAUCACCAAAAACCACAUCCAGAGCAAUCUAGCCGAGUGAUUCAGCCUUCUUCCCAGGAAUGACUCCAUGGAAACUCAUGUUGCUGGUACUGAGUCUGGACAUCGGAAUGCCCAUCCCUUUCAACGUCUCAGCAUAUAGUAUGUUCAAACCACUGCCACCAUCCAUCAAGACUUUGGUCAGUCGAGUGCCUUCAACAACUAGGUCGACCACCAAAGCUUGCCUCCCGGGGGUGGCAAUGUGCGUUGGGUGAUUUGACCGGUCGAAUGUGAUGGCAUUCUGAGACCACUUCAGAUAACUUGGUGUCGCUGGAGCAACCAUAUUCACCUCUCGGUUGAUAACUUUCAGUCGACUUUUGCUUUCAACAUCAGCAAAAAUCAUCAAGGUGGAAUUGACCUGGGGGUAUCCAUCGUCACUAUCUUCCUUGUCCUCAAUUUUGUCCGACUCCUUUUCCUUAUCUUUGGGCUGCUUGCCCUGAAACUGCUGGAUCAAGAGUCGACACUAUCGAGUGGUAUGUUUCGGGUAAAUGAAAUUACCCUCUUCAUCUUUCUUGGUGUGGAUGUGACAUGGCAAAUCCAACACAUCAUUUCCGUCCUGGUCUUUAACUUUCUUGGGGUUCCAAGGUCCUUUGGGUUUCCCCUUAAACUUUCCUUGAGUUACAGCCAAGGCUUCCCCAGGAGCAGCUGGCUCGGCUUUCCGCUUCUGUUUCCGAUUGGAAUUUCCUCCGGUUUCUUGAGCGACUGACUUGAGCUUGCCACUCCUGAGUGGAUCCUCAUCUUCACCAUUAGCGUACUUGGUGGCAAUCUCCAUCAUCCGAUUCAGAGACAUAUCUCCGGUUCCACCGAAUUUCAGAUUCAGCUCUUUGUACUUGACGCCUUCUUUGAAGGCACAGACUGCUUGGUGGUCAGGCACAUUCUCUACCGUGUGAUGUAACGUGAUCCAUCUCUGGAUGUAAUCCCUCAAAGUUUUAUUCGGCUUCUGCACGCAAGACCGCAGUUCCGUCAGCCUUGCCGGUCACUUGCAUGUUCCUUCAAACAUGGUGACAAACACUCGGGCGAGGUCUUCCCAAGUGUAAAUGCUACUGGGUGCUAACUGAUUCAGCCACGCUCUGUCCGAGCCCUCCAACAUGAGAGGUAGGUGUUUCAUGGCCACUUCAUCAUUGCCGCCACCAAUCUGGACGGCCACUCGGUAGUCUUCAAGCCAAGUAUCGGGCUUGGACUCACCAGUGAACUUACUGACUCCAGUCGCCAACCUGAAGUUGGGAGGAAUCACAGCGGCCCUGAUGGCUUUACUAAAGCACUCUGGCCCCGAAACACGUACUCUGCUGCUGGUAGGUGCAUCUCCGUCGUGACCUUCUCGGUGAGCUCUGUUCCUGUCGACCAAACCUUGAACGAGAAUGGAUCUCGCAUCAAAGCCUGGUUCCCUGGGGUCGACUGGAAUCCUUCGCCCAACGCUAUGAGGGCGCCUGUCAUCUUGCUGUCGAGGCGCAUACGACCCGCUCCUCGGGGGAGGGGUGGGCACUCGACGUCGAUCAUCACGAUCGAAUCGGUGAUCGUACUGUUCAUGGUUCUCGUACUGAUUGCGCUGGUCUCCACGUCCCUCACGCCUCGGGGGCGAUCUUGGGCUAUGAGCUGACUGGACUGUGUCUGCAGCAACGGAUCUGCUAUGAAUCAUGUUCUGCGACUGAGAAACAGCGGAAUUCUGGUCUCCUGCUGCCCGAAGUAACGCUCUGAUAUGCAGCAACCUCUGCCAGCCUCCGACUGGAAAGGCUGAAUCGACUCUGCUAUGCGGGCUGCAGCUGCUAAAUUCUGAAUCGAAGUUCGAUAUACUUGCGGGGGCGGAAAGAGCUGACGUCGACUGGAUUCUGGAACCCGUUGUCGCGCACGCUCGUCGAGUGCUUGCUGGAGGUUCUCCAGUCGAGCGCGCUCGGCCAAGUUUGCCAGGCGCACGUCCUCCAAGGCACGAGCCUCUGGGGUUUCUCCAACGAUAGGAGUGUGCAGUGCAUCCAUGUUCCGGCGAUGAAGUUCUUCUUUCUGCAGCGACGUGAGAGGCUCGGGGAGAUAUUCCUCAUGGGGACGUGACGGGUCGCCUCCACCUGCGCCUCCGUUGGUGCGGGGAAAACCGGGAGGACUGGGUGGUCCAUCGACCAUCAGAACCUCCGCCGCCGGAUCACUGCUGUCGCACUCAGAUGCGGUCUCUGCGGAGCCAGUCGACAGGUCGAACAGGCCGUAGAGGGAUUUGUCGGGCUCGAUCGCCGCGACUUGAGGGGUGGCCGACUGGCGUGCCACCGCGUGUCUCACCCACCGCUGAAGUCUCGACUGACCGGAGCGCUUGCGCCGGCGGGAAACAGGGAGGGAAGACAACACAGGAGCCAACCGGUAGGGGGUCGACGGUUGCCGCAAGAGAACGACGCGGACGCACGCGCUAAAGUGCGUUGCCCCGCGAACGGGGAGUGCGUCCACGUCGAGCGGAGCCUCCUGAAGCCAAGCGUAGUCGUCGGCGAUGAACGUGAGCGCGCCGAGACGGAUCUCGCAGCCCUCCACCAAAACUCCGCCAGAAACCAUGAUGAUUUGGAUCGGAAAAGAUCGCAACUCCUCCAACAAAUCACUAAAACACCGGCCCCACGGUGGGCGCCAACUGUCGUGGUUCUAAGCCUGACAGUAAUAUAGGAGGGUAGGUAUGGAGAGGCAAGAUCUUAGCUAUGGAGAAGUUGUAAGCACACGAGGUUUACGAGUUCAGGCCUUUCUUGGAGUAAGUAAUAGCCCUACGUCUCGGAGCCCAGAGGUGGUCGACUGGAUUAUGAGUGUAUGAAUUACAGGCGUGCGAACCCUUUACACUGAGGAGGGGGGGUGGCUUAUAUAGAGUUCGCCGGACCCCUCCGGCCCUCAGUUAUGCAGGGUUUAAAAUACAUUAAGGUCGGGCGUUACUGGUAACGCCCUUAAUAAAGUGCUAUGAUGACCAUAAAAGCUACUUAAUAACCGACCGUUAGCGUGCGGAGUGCCUUUAGGUCUUCUCUCCGUCGAGUGGUUUGGUCUUGGUCGAGUGAUCACUUCUUGGUCGAGUGUCUUCGAGUCUGUCGAGUGGAACACCUCCAAGUCGAUUGAAAGGUGAUUUCUUCUAGAGAUGUCCUUGGGUAGGGCAGUUUGGACAGGUCCAUGACCCUACCCUAGGUACAUAGCUUCAUCAGCCGGUCCGUAAAAAAUUUACCGUGACCUGGAAAGUCCCUCUCCACCACUAUAUAUGUGGUUUCAUCUUUCGAAUAUGGGCCAAACUCUAUCCGCCUCCUUCGCCGCUCCGCCACGAUUCCCCUCCUUCUUCGCCCCAAUUUCUCGCCGUCGGCGAGCCUAAAAAAGGCCUAGCGACCCUUGGAUAGAUGGCUACGGGGAUGACGAGGAGCGCCGCCGCCGCCGCACGGAAGCGGGGAACGCGGAGGUGGCUCAACCACGGGAGCCGGCCGCCGCCGACAUUCGAACGCCGUGAGCUCGUCGAGUACGAGCGCGAGGUCGCGGUCCGCCGUCACGCCUCCUCCGGACCCUCUGCCGCGGGGAGCUCGUACGUGGGCGCCUCGAGCUCGCGGCUCACUCCGGUCAAGAGAGAGCCGGAGGAGCUUGGGCCGCUCACUGUCAAGCUCGAGGACGACGCGCCGACGCCGCUGCGUCGAGGAGUGGUCGGCCCCGAGGACUACCUCCCCCCGGGGCAGGAGGAGCACCUAGAGCGCGUCGUCAUGGAGUGCUCGGGGAGGGAAGAGGAGGAGGUCAACGCGCCGCCGCCGCCGCGUCGAGGAGUGGUCGGCCCCGAGGACUACCUCCCCCCGGGGCAGGAGGAGCACCUAGAGCGCGUUGUCAUGGAGUGCUCAGGGAGGGAAGAGGAGGAGGCCGUCGCGCGCCGCCGCCGCGAGCUCGAGUACGACCAGAUCUUCCUCCAGCAGGCGUCGCCGCGUCGGAGGCGCACGUGUCCAAGGAGGCCGAGCAGGCCAAGGGCAUCAUCGACCUCGACUCUGAUGAGGACUGAGCUCCUCCGGCUCCUCCGCCGUGUCGUCGCCGCCGCGAGCUCGUCGAUUUUGGUAGCGUAGGCUCGUGUAUGCUGCACGGCCCGCAGAUUCCCCCCUAGUAGUACAAUGUAGUAUAAAUGAUGAACUAUGUAUGAUUAAUGGAGUACGAUGAUGAACUAUGUAUGAUCAAUGUCGUUGCAAGUUUCUCCCGCGGAUACUUUUUAAAAAAAUUACAGUUUCAUAUACAGGGUCUGAUCUGCGGCGCACAAAUUCGCCCCGCAAAACAUAUCUGCAGCGCACGAAUUCGCCCCGUAAAACAAAUCUGCAGCGAACUGCAAACGUAUUUUGCGGGUCAGCAUUAUACGAGGUCUGCUAGAGAUGCUCUGAGUAACACAAAAGGUAAACAGUGCAGCACAAGGAUUCAUUGUGACAUACAAAUCCUACGUCGUUUUGGUUUUUAAGAAACAGGAAUCUUAAAUUAACACCCAAGUUAACCUAUGGUAGUGAUGAAAUGUUUGCUGGCCGUUGCAUCUUGUCCCCAUCUAUGUCAGUUACUGUGCUGUGAGGGGGUGCAACGCAUGUGGAUAUUCUUGCCUCCGAUGUUUGGGUAGCCCCCAUAUGUGGACCGCCGCACCUUAAUCUUUUUUAACUUUUGUUUUGUUGUUAUAAACAAUGGCAGCCUUAGAUCCCCAAUGCACAAUCAUUUGCUUUGACGGCACGUUGAAAUGUGGGGCCAUGUUUAGAUUGUUGGGCAAGAACGUACACUUUGACUUAGUUUCAAAUUUCGUCGCUUGUUUUCAUGUCUAUUGAGAGUACUUAUUGGUAGGUUUUGACUUGGCAAACAUAUUGGUAGACGCCAAUAGUACCUGAUUAAACAACGGCAAAUGAGAACAAAAUAGCACGACUUAAAGGCAUUGUAUGAUACCCCUUAAACAAAUAUAAGAUGUUUUAAAUAUUUUAAUAUGGACUACAUACUGACUGGAAUGAGUGAACAAAUACGCUAAAAUGCGUCUACAGACAUUCAAAUCAAAAAAGAGCAUGUCAUCUAUCUAUAAAUGGAGAACCACAAUUGAGUGAAAAAAGUGCGUGCUGUAUUUUUCACUGAACUAAAAUUGCACUUUUACGAAUCGAUCACGACAUUAGACUAUCACAAUUGACAUAGACAGAUAUGGACUCUUUUGUUUCUGAUCGAUGUUGAUCAUGGUGACAUGUACUCGCGACUAUUAGUAUGGUUUGGUUUCAAUGAAAUUGGACCCGGGGGCACCGCUAUGCCACUCAUCUUAGAAAGGAAAUAACAAAGUGCCACCAAUAUAACCAAAAGAAGAAGAUGGGUGUAGUUUGUUGUCAAAACCAUCCAUUUUUAUAGAGAAGUCCUUUGUGAAGUAAUAUGAUAUGACUAGUAUGUCGGUUCAUUUAUAACUUCUAGUUUGGUUUUUGUUUGUUCAACAAACCUUACUAGUAAUUCCAUUUUCUUUUUUGAGAGGGUAUGAUGAAUAACCUUUUCUAGAUAAUCAUUUGCAUGCAUAGUUCGCUUUUGGUGUUUGUCUUUUUGAAGCAAACAAUGAUUCAACAUAUUUCUCUAGUGGGGGGCUCAUUAUUACUUGCCACCGAUCAAAGCAUUUCGUGCAGCUUAUAGGGAUAAGGGAGGCUUACUUAUCACAAAGUGCUAUGAGAAGAUGCAAAUUGUCAUUUUACCCGAGGCCGUCGUAGAGGAUACCCUUAUAGAAGUUUUAAAAAAAAACUUGUAUCAAGCAAGUAGGAGCUUCGUCAACAGAGGUGGUGGGUGUUUGUUUCCUGCAUGAAUUGGGGCUAGCGGGUGUUCAUUCUAAUGUCGGCAAUGAUGAUGUUCUUGUCUUUAUUCCGCAGAGUCCCUCGGGCAGGUGGUAUAUUUGGUUGAUGAUGUUGAUGUGUCUGNNNNNNNNNNNNNNNNNNNNNNNNNNNNNNNNNNNNNNNNNNNNNNNNNNNNNNNNNNNNNNNNNNNNNNNNNNNNNNNNNNNNNNNNNNNNNNNNNNNNNNNNNNNNNNNNNNNNNNNNNNNNNNNNNNNNNNNNNNNNNNNNNNNNNNNNNNNNNNNNNNNNNNNNNNNNNNNNNNNNNNNNNNNNNNNNNNNNNNNNNNNNNNNNNNNNNNNNNNNNNNNNNNNNNNNNNNNNNNNNNNNNNNNNNNNNNNNNNNNNNNNNNNNNNNNNNNNNNNNNNNNNNNNNNNNNNNNNNNNNNNNNNNNNNNNNNNNNNNNNNNNNNNNNNNNNNNNNNNNNNNNNNNNNNNNNNNNNNNNNNNNNNNNNNNNNNNNNNNNNNNNNNNNNNNNNNNNNNNNNNNNNNNNNNNNNNNNNNNNNNNNNNNNNNNNNNNNNNNNNNNNNNNNNNNNNNNNNNNNNNNNNNNNNNNNNNNNNNNNNNNNNNNNNNNNNNNNNNNNNNNNNNNNNNNNNNNNNNNNNNNNNNNNNNNNNNNNNNNNNNNNNNNNNNNNNNNNNNNUAGCGUGUCAAGGGUGUUUGUCGAUGUGUUUUUGUUGUGGUGUUGCAUCGAUGUAGUUUUGUUGUGGUGUUGCUUCAUAGAGUAGUAUGCAUUUCAUGUAACGCUUUUUCUUAUUUUUCUCUCGUAAACAAGUGUGUAACAAUUUUUUGUCUCAAUGUUUCGCCCAUAAUUGGGUAAUUCUCUUAUGCUUAAUUAAUCGGUCGUGGGGCUUUGAUCUCCUCUUUUGAAAAGAAAAUGAAGUGGACAAGCCGUAAAGGAUAAAUCAGAUUACACCAUCUUGAUUCCUGAGACUCAUUCAAAGUUCCUAGUGCUAGAAAAUGCAGGCUUUUGUGAAAUCAACUUGCUUUUGAAUAUUUCUUUCAGGCUUCCAUUGUACGAGUUCCGCCAGCCAACAGCACUGACGAAUUCUCGAAGAGAAAAAAACAGCACUGACGAACUUUUUGCAAAUCCUGCGAAUUAUUCCUGGAUCAGAAAAUACAACUGUGUCAUCGACUUGUGACUUCAUAUAACACUGAAUGCCAAGUACAGAUCGGGGCCCAAAAACAUCAGUUCGUGUCAACUUUUCUGGAGCACGGACAAAGAUCACGGGCGAGAAAUACAGGCGUGCGUACCAUAUGAACGCUUAAAAUGCUUGAAGGUCCAAAUUGAAGCAGACGGUGUUUCUGUUUCAGGCCAUGCAACUUUAUUUUUCUUGAACAUGCAUUACCGACAUCAUGAUGGGCAAUGAACUCCUCUUCUACAAAAAUAAAUAAAUUAUACUGUAUACUUAAAAAAAGAAGUAAGUAUGCAUUAUGCUUACUUGGUGCCUCUGAUUAUACAGCAAAACAAUUUACUGUUCUCUCGACGAUGCAACACAAAGCUCUAAACAAUAAAGAUAGAAUUAGCAAAUAUUUGCAACGUUAUGAUCUCAAAUUCUUAAGCCCUUGCAUGAUGAUGGACGACACUAAAUUAUUUCUUAAUAGCUACAACUAAUUAAAAAUGUUUGUGAAGUUUGAUUAUGAAUACUUAUAACAUUUUUUUGGGUAGAACUGGAGUCCUUGUCAGCAAAGUGUCAAAAAAGAAUCAUGCCCAAUCCAACUUCAAGGUCCCGUUUAGGGAGAACAAUGUUGAAUGAUGAUGCAACAUCACCGGCGUACAAGGCACGAAUUUCAGUGAAUUCGUCUGUCAGGGGACACACACGGUAUUUCAGUGAAUUCUUCUGUCAGGGGACACACACGGUAAGAGUUGCAUUGCAAAGUCACAUGCCAGGUCAGUAAAUUCAGGAGCUACCUGACUAGCUCACCAAGCACAGUACACUCUACACUUCUUCCUUUUGAAUGGAAUCGCUCAUGCUCAGAGGCUAGCGGCGCACGAUUUAUCUGUAGAAAACAUAAAUAAGUAUUACCAGUGUAUAUAAUAUAUUACAUCCGUAUUCUUAGAUUUAUCUAGAUAUAGAUGUAUCUAACACUAAAAAGUGUCUAGGUACAUCAGUACCUAGGUAAAUCCAAGACUAGUAAUUUGAGACGGAGAGAGUAAGGAACAGAAGUGUAAGUUAGUGCGUAAAAGAGAAGGAAAGAAAGAUGUGGUAACAAAACUUUGAGGAUAAUCUUAUUUCUUGCCUCAUGUAGCCGAUCAAUUGGUCACUGUGAUUUUUGCCACUAAUGGUGAUAUACUUCCACGUAAUUCACUGAAUGUUGAUAAAAACAACUAAAUACCCACGUACUAUCUCCAUCCUGAUUUAUUGGUCUUUUAGUAUUUUGUGCCGAAUUUUGAUCAUGGAUUUAGUUAACUAAAUGUUAAUGUAUGUCACAAAAAAUAGUAUUAUUGAAAAUUAUAUUUAAAUACAAAUUCAAUGAUAUAAUUUUUUAUGACAUGCAUUAACAUUUUGUUAGUUAAACCUAUGGUCAAAUUUUGACACAAAAUAAGAAAAGGACCAAUAGAUCAGGACGGAGGUAGUAAAUUACAAUCAAUAUUUGAUGUGUACCAGACAAGUGAUUACACAUAUUAUGCUCCCCACAUAAGUUCACUACAAUGAAUUGAGUAUGCUGCUAGAGAUAAGAAUGCCAAGAGAAUGGUCUAGGGGGAGGCGACCUCGAUAUGCUCCGAGGAAACACUUCGGUGUCCUCCUUCCCCACGAUGUCAGCACAGGAGAAGUUCAUGUUCUUCUUAUGCUCCAGCAUCUCUAACCAUGGAGCCAUUAUUAUGUCUCCCGCAAAACCGGGGUCAUCAAAGGCUGGCUUGAGGAAAAUUAAAUCAUUCUUGAUUAUCCAGUUGUCGCACAACACUUUACAUCCAGUCUUUUCAAAGUUUCAUCAAAUGAUGCUAUUGCAAUGUGGAAGCAGUGCGAUGCAGCCCUGUCAUUGCACCAACAUUCUUGUCAUUCGAGUUUCCGAGCUGUAAGCUUGCCGUCCUCCUAGUCAUAGGCUUUGGCAUGAAGGGGGUGCCCAACAUUUUAUCAAGGCCUUCGGCAUUGUACUUCACAUACUUGUUCGCAUUGAUGUCCUGCUCAACAAGCGGCCCGUAGUUCUGCAUGAAGCUACGAUAAACAGGCACUAUAGCCUGCACCACAAGGUGGCACACCCUCUGCUGCAGAUCCUUGUCUAGUGUGAUCCAGGCGGACAUGCUUCUGAUACAUCUCAUCAAAGCUGGCGUUGAAUGAUUUGAGUCGUUGCUUCACCAAGUCUCUUGCUGUAGCCUGGCCCUUGGAGAACAAGAUCAGACACUCCCUGCUCAGCGGGGGCGUACGUGUUCCUCGGCUCUCCCUUAGAAACAGUGCCGCGUAGUGGUAACCUAUCGAUCCGCGAACCGGUCCGAACGUCCGCUCUCUCACAAAUCGAGUGAAGGAGGAGGGCUUUUGCGGUCGUCUGGAUUGCUGCCACGCACUCAUCCGACACCCCGGUCCCACCCGACCCACGCCCUCUUCCGCGUGAAGCGGUUGUCGCGUAUUCGUGCCACUCGAGACUGCCAGCACCACAUCCAUUUCGUCCCAGACCGGACGCGACCUCACACUCUCGGGGGAGGUUUGGCGGUUGGCGUUGGAGACGCCCUAAUUAGCUGGGUUUCUGAAAGUUAAUUAAGGUCAUGUGCUGGUAUAGUCUGGUAAUUAAGCAGCCAGCCAGCCACGCAUGCUCAGCCAGAGUGUCCAACGCCAGUGGUGGUAGUACUACUAGCACAGUAGUGGUAGUAGUAUUUAUUUACCAGCAAGUAGAACGCAAUGUGGAACCAGCACGCCGCUAGUCCAGAAGGUCAACUACAGCUAGCCUAAAUCAGGAAUUUGGACGCGACAGCCGCUCGCCGCUCGCCAGUCCGUUCCACGCUCCAUCACCCUCUUUUGGAACUGACCGUGCUCACGUACACCGCGCACAUCAGUCGGCGCACGGCGUACCGCUGGGUCAGCCGGUGGCGAUGGCGAUCACCAACCGUCCGGCCCGGCCAUUAACUAAGUUUACUCCACCGGCCCCUUCAAAAAAAAAAAAGUUUACUCCACCGGCCGAACUCACGCCCAACCAACCCACAUUGAAGCGCUCCAUCGACUGCACGCCAACAUGGCAGCGGCUUCGGCCGGGACAGAAGCUUCCGGUGCGUGCCGAUCCACGUUGCUUCCACGGCAUCCUUUCCUUUGUGGUAUCAAGUUUCCCAUGCCCCGUCGCAUACAGACGUGAACUCCGCUGGCGUGCACCCACACCCAGGUAGACACGGCUCGGGUGCACCCAACCCAACUCGCUGGCGUGUCAGCGUGCGGGCGAGCAACAAAAGUGGCAAAGUAGCACCCCCACGCACAAAGCGGUGGCAUCCAUCCGUCCGUCCAAUCCGAGUGCGCGUCCAGCAGAGAGAGCCUGGCCCUGGCGUGAGUGCGUGACAGAUUGAAGUGAGCGUAGGCAGUAAUUGCGGUGAAAGAAACUCGCAGGGACGCACGCACAGUGGUAAACAUCAACGACGUAAACAACCUCGGAGCCGCCCUGACAGCAACCACAGACCGGAGCGGAGCAGGACCAGCGCGAGCCGAGCGGCGGAGGCCGGAGCGCGUGCCUUCAGUUUCGACUCUCCCUCCCUCGCUCCCGUGGAAAAACUCUCCCCUUUUCCGCCUCCCCCUUUCUUUCCAAGUCCAACCUAAACCUCAGCCCCGCUCCACCUCCCCCCGCCUCUGCCCCGCACGCCACACCACAGCACCCACCUCUCCGGACGGGCGCCCGUCGCCGUCGCCAUCGCCUUUUCCCCCUCCCUCCCUCCCCGCGCCGGAUAAGUAGUACGCACUCGCUUGCAAGGGACGCCGGACCUCGAGCUCCCACCGGCCGGCAGAUUGAUUCCUACACCAAUUCCUGCGAGCCAGAGCGAGGGACAAGCCCGCCCGCGGCCGUGGGCGUCGAGCGGUCCGUCCGACGCGCAUUCGGAGGGCGAGGCCGUGCGCUACCACCGGGGGAUGGGGAUGGAUCAGGGGGCGGAGGAGGCGCGGCGGAUGGCGAGCCUGCAGGCGGCGCGGAGCGCGCUGCGGGCCGGGGUGGAGCGGUCGCGGGCGCUGAGCCACGCGCUGGCGCGGACGGGGGCCCGGGUCGGGGAGAUCCAGGCGCGGCUGGCGGCCACGGAGGCCGGGGUGCGCCCGAUCCGCGCGCCGCGGGACGCGCUCGAGGGGGCCGGCCCCAACAUCGACCGCGCCGUGGGGCCCGCCGCGGCCGUCCUCAAGGUGUUCGACGCCGUGCACGGCCUCGAGCCGCCGCUCCUCGCCGGGGCCGCCGCCCGGGAGGACCUCCCGGGCUACCUCGCCCUCGUCGCCCGCCUCGAGGAGGCGCUCCGCUUCCUCGCCGACAACUGCGGCCUCGCCGUCGACUGGCUCUCCGACAUCGUCGACUACCUCGGCAAGCGCAGCCUCGCCGACCCUCGCUUCGUGGCCGGCCUCGCCGGGGCGCUCUCGAAACUCAAGGGCGUCCCCGCAGCCGACCUCGACGCCGGCCUCCUCACCGCCGCCCUCGACGUGCUCGAGGCCGAGUUCUGCCGCCUCCUCGCCGAGCACUCUGCUCCGCUCGCGAUGCAGGAGGACCCCGACAAGGCCAAGCCCGCACCCGCCUCCAUCACGCCGCCGAGGAUCCCCGCCGCCGCCGUGCAGAAGCUGGGCCUCACCCUUGACCGCCUCGCCGCUAAUGGGCGGCUCAGCUACUGCGUGGCGGCGUACGCCGACGCUCGCGGGGACACGGUGAGCGCCAGCCUCCACGCGCUCGGCCUGGAUUACCUGCAAGACCAGACGCAGGAUGCUCAGGCGCUGAGCCCGAGCGUCGAGCUCUGGGGCCGGCAUUUGGAGUUCGCGGUGCGCCACCUAUUGGAAGCUGAGCGGAAGCUCUGUGUUGCUGUCUUCGAGCGCUGGCCAGAAGCCGCGGCCGCUUGCUUCGCGGACAUUGCGGCGCGCGCUGGAAUUCUUGAUUUCCUCAAGUUUGGCCGUGCCGUGGCUGAUGCCAAGAAGGACCCCAUCAAGCUCCUGAGGCUGCUUGAUGUGUUUGAUUCUCUCAGCAAGCUCAGAUUGGACUUCAACCGGUUGUUUGGUGGAAAGGCAUGCCUGGAGAUCCAAAGCAGGACCAGAGAGCUUGUGAAGAGGGUGGUGGAUGGCUCUGUUGAGAUUUUUGAGGAGUUGCUGGUGCAGGUGGAGCUGCAGCGCAAGAUGCCACCCCCAGCUGACGGCGGAGUGCCAGGCCUGGUUACCUUCGUCCCCAAGUACUGCAACCAGCUCCUUGGGGAGCAAUAUCGGCCUGUGCUCACACAAGUGCUCACCAUCCACCGCAGCUGGCGCAAGGAGGCGUUCAACGACAAGAUGCUCGUCGAUGCAGUGCACAACAUUGUUAAGGCCCUGGAGGCCAACUUCGACACAUGGGCAAAGGCGUAUGAGGAUAAGACACUGUCAUCUCUCUUCAUGAUGAACACACAUUCGCACUUCUUCAAGCACCUGAAGAGCACUAAGAUGGGGGAGAUCUUAGGCGAUGAGUGGCUCCGGGAGCAUGAGCAGUACAAGGACUACUACUCGGCAUUGUUUCUAAGGGAGAGCUGGGGAACGCUUGCGCCGCUGCUGAGCAGGGAGGGUCUGAUCUUGUUCUCCAAGGGUCAGGCUACAGCAAGGGACUUGGUGAAGCAGCGGCUCAAAUCGUUCAACGCCAGCUUCGAUGAGAUGUACCAGAAGCAGUCCGCGUGGAUCAUACCGGACAAGGAUCUGCAGCAGAGGGUGUGCCACCUUGUGGUGCAGGCUAUAGUGCCUGUUUACCGUAGCUUCAUGCAGAACUACGGGCCGCUUGUCGAGCAGGACAUCAGCGCGAGCAAGUACGUCAAGUACAGCGCUGAAGGCCUUGACAAGAUGCUUAGCACCCUCUUCAUGCCGAAGCUUAGGACUAGGAGGACUGCAAGCAUGCAGAUCAGAAACUCAAAUGGCAAGAUUGCCAGUGCAGUGACUGGGCUGCAGCGGAGUGCUUCAACAUUGCAAUAGCAUCAGUUGAAGAAACUCCAGAAAGAUUGGAUGUACAGUAGUGUUGUGCAAUAACUGAAUAAUCAAAGAAUGAUUUAAUUUAUUUCGAGCCAGGCGUUGAAGAUCCCGGUUGUGCGGGAGACAUAGUAAUCGCUCGAUGAUAAUAAGAGCUGCUGGAGCAUAGUAAGAACAUAGACUUCUCCAGCACUGACAUAGUGGGGGGAGAAGGAAACUGAAAUCUUUCCUCAGAGCAUAUGGAUGCCCCCUUCCCCUAGAUCAUUAUAUUCGCAUUCUUAUCUCUAGCAUUCAUAUACUCUAUUUGUUUUAGGAAACUUAUGUGUGGAGCAUAAGAUGUGUAAUCAGUUGUCUGGUAUAUGUCAAAGAUUGGUUGUAAUUUAGGUGGGUAUUUAGUUGUUUUUAUCAAUGUUCAUUGAAUUAUAUGGAAGUAAGUGUAUUACUGCCUGUGACAAAAAUGACUGAUCAAUUGACUGACUAACAUGAGGCAAGAAAACAGUCUAUCUUCGAAGUUUCGGUUCCACAUGUUUCUUUCUUUCUCUUUACGCACUAACUUACCGUUUUGUUACCUAUUAUGUAUAUACUGCUACUUCUGUAUGCUCUGUUCUACAGAUAAAUCAUGCGCCCGUGUGCGGCGCUAGCCUCUGAACACGAGUGUUUCAUGCGAAAAGAAUUAGUGAACAGUUUACCUUGCUUGGUGAGCUAGUCAGGUAGCUCCAGAAUUUACUGACCUGGCAUAUAUAUAACUUUGCAAUGUAACCUGAAUUUACUGACCUGGUAUAGACUUUGCAAUGCAACUGCUAACUGUGUGUGUCCAGUCACAGAAGAAUGGACUGAAAUUCGUACCUUGUACGCCGGUGAUGGUUCUUCCUCAACGCGGUCUUGAAUUUCAAUUGAGCAUGAUUCUUUUUUGACACUUCGCUAACAAGGACUCCAGUUCUACCAAAAAAAAAGAGGAGAUGUUGUCUCAGUAUUUGUAAUCGAAUUUCACAACCACUUCUCAUUUGUAUAGCUACUAAGAAAUUUGAGGGUCGACCAUCAUCAUGAAGGGCUUAAAAAUUGGGAAACUCUUACCAUCACCCGGCAGAUCGCAGCGUCCGCGUCCGCCACCUCCCCUGCCUUGCACGUGUCCCAGUGAGAGCUCACACACCAUCCUUUGUCGAACGCGCUUCUGCAAUAGGAGCUAUGUUUUUGAAACAUAUGUGGUGUUGCAAUGGUCUAUGACAGGUAUACGCUUUGCAACAAAAUAUCACUUACGAAAUUUUUCUGCAACAAGACCUCGGUUGCAAAAAAAAUUGCAACAAAAACCCAGUUGCAAAAAGAUGCAAGAAAACAACUGUUGCAGAAAAAUCCGGCAACAAGACAUGUGUUGCAGAAGUAAUCCUGCAACAAGACCUUUGUUGCAAUGAUGAAGGCACGUUUGAGCGCUCGAUGUGGCUUUUAAAAAAAAUCAGCCGGCGGACGCGUAGCACACCCCUUAAAAAUUUGACGAAGUUGUAAAUAUUUGCUAAUUCUGUCUUUUAUUGUUUAGAGCUUUGCUGCUUGGUUGCAAUAUAAAUGGCUGAAUAUGUAUGCGGAAAUGCUCUUUGUGCCGCGUCGACGAGAGAACCAUAAAUCUGUCUGUUGCAUAAUCAGAGGCACCAAGUAAGCUUAAUGAGCUAUAAUUCAUGUUAAACCAUGUAUCAGCCCCCACAAAAAAAUCAUACUGUAAGCACCAAAAUAAGUAUCAUUGAAUAUUGAAGUAUAGAUGUAUACUUACUUUUAUUUUGUAGAAGAUGAGUUCAUUGCCCUUCAUGAUGUCGCAAAUCGACAAAGAUCAUCCAGACCUGGCAUAUCUGCAACGACGCAGUGCUGGUAAUUAGUUGCCUGGCCUGAAAUAGAAACACCGUUUGCUUCAAUUUGGACCUUAGAGCGUGUACAAUGUGUUGAGUCUUAAGAAUGACCCAACACAUAUAUUGUCUAUGAAAGGUACAUUUCUGUGAGCAAAUACUUCCUAAGAGUGUGUCUGUGCUCAUCGUCACUCAAUCUCCUUAAAUUUCUGUCACUUGCGAACUAAGAUACGUGGUUCCCUCAUCGCCACCAAAUUCCCCUAAAUUCAUUGUCCCUUGCAAAGUAAGAUACGCCGUUCCAAGAACUGAUUCAAAGUAGAUUUCUGUCAACACAAUACGUCUCCUCUUUCUUCCUUUUUUCCCUUAUUUAUGCACGAGACCAACUAGUUUAGACACGGUACGACUACAUUAUGAUUCAUAAAUUAGCAUUAUGUUUUAUACAUCAUUCAAUCAGACAAAUAAGAUGAACAUGCCAUAAUUUUACCACAUGGUACAUCAAGCAUCACAUACAAGGAAACAUAAACAACAACUUGAAGAAACAUCAUAUGCAACAUCACCACAAUCCUUGACCAUGUCAAAUCAUGGACAUACCUUCAAUCGUCGUGAGAAAGAUGCCCUUGCAGACCACCUUCCAAGGCCGCCGCCCUGGCAUCCAGGAUCCCGCGCCCACUCGUACCGCUACCCGACACCAAGGCCACCAGCCACCGUGGGACGGGACCGAAAGGCACCUCCUUUCACAUCCCCGGGAACCCCUACCCCACUUCCAUGACCGGAACAAGGGGAAGACCAACCACAUCGGAGAACCCUAGGCCAGACCCAUUAGAUCUGGAUGAGUACAAGCAUCGACGGCAUCCACGACGGGAAGACACCUCCUUACCACAUCCCCAUGAGCUCUGGGCUCUGGUCGUCCAACCAUGAUCGGCAUGGGGAGGAGUCACGCCCACAAGCCCCUAGGUCGUCCUGCUGGAUCUAGGCGAGGUCAGUUACCCAAGGCUUCUGCCCCGACUAGAUCUGGCCAAGGGAAAGCAACAUAAGGUGGACGACAGGCCACUACCUUGAUCACGACGGUCGCACCCGUCUUGGCCGUGGCCCCCAAGCGUGAGGG